rnacentral:rRNA from 1 species
GGGAUUACCUCAGUAACGGCGAGUGAAGCGGUAACAGCUCAAAUUUGAAAUCUGCCGCAAGGCCGAGUUGUAAUUUGUAGAAGAUGCUUUGGGUAUGGCCCCGGUCUAAGUUCGUUGGAACACGACGUCAUAGAGGGUGAGAAUCCCGUAUGUGACUGGGUGCUUUUGCCUAUGUAAAGCUCUUUCGACGAGUCGAGUUGUUUGGGAAUGCAGCUCAAAAUGGGUGGUAUAUUUCAUCUAAAGCUAAAUAUUGGCCAGAGACCGAUAGCGCACAAGUAGAGUGAUCGAAAGAUGAAAAGCACUUUGGAAAGAGAGUUAAACAGUACGUGAAAUUGUUGAAAGGGAAGCGCUUGCAACCAGACUUGCACGUUGUUGAUCAUCCAGGCUUCUGUUUGGUGCACUCAACUGCGUUCAGGCCAGCAUCGGUUUUGGUGGUGGGAUAAAGGCCUUGGGAAUGUAGCUUCUUUCGGGGAGUGUUAUAGCCCUCGGUGCAAUGCCGCCUACCGGGACCGAGGACCGCGCUUCGGCUAGGAUGCUGGCGUAAUGGUUGUAAGCGACCCGUCUUGAAACACGGACCAAGGAGUCUAACAUCUAUGCGAGUGUUUGGGUGUCAAACCCAUACGCGUAAUUAACGUGAACGGAGGUGAGAACCCUUAAGGGUGCAUCAUCGACCGAUCCUGAUGUCUUCGGAUGGAUUUGAGUAAGAGCAUAGCUGUUGGGACCCGAAAGAUGGUGAACUAUGCCUGAAUAGGGUGAAGCCAGAGGAAACUCUGGUGGAGGCUCGCAGCGGUUCUGACGUGCAAAUCGAUCGUCAAAUUUGGGUAUAGGGGCGAAAGACUAAUCGAACCAUCUA